UUAAGUUCCUUAAAUUCAAAGAAUUUGGCGGUAAUUAAGUCUUUUUAGAGGAACCUGUUCUUUAAUUGAUAAUCCACGAUUGAUUUUACUUUAAUUUUAUUUGUAUACCUCUGUCAAUGAAUGUAUUUUAAGAUUAAUUUUCUUUAUUUUUUGUAAAUGGAUGUUAGGUCAAGGUGCAGUCAUUUUAAAGUAGAAAUGGGUUACUAUAAUAAUUUUUGGAUAUUUAUUUUGAAAUUUUUAAUUGAAAUAGGAUUUAAUAGUAAUUUUUUUAAAAUAAAAAUUUUGAUUUAGGCUCUUAAUUAU
rnacentral:rRNA from 1 species